rnacentral:tRNA from 1 species
UAAAAGGUCGGGAUAGCUCAGUUGGUAGAGCAG